GUUUGUUUAUGUGUUACAUAUUUGUUUUUCGUUCAUUUUUUUUCACAUAGAUAAGGCCUUUAGUUUUCUCGUUUGAAUUGUUUUACAUUGUCUUAUCGUGGCCUAUUAUAGCUGACUAUGCGGUAUGGGCUUUGCUCAUUGUUGAAGUCCGUAUGGUGACCUAUAGUUGUUAAUGUCUGUGUCAUUUUGGUCUUUUGUGGAUAGUUGUCUCAUUGGAAAUCAUACCACAUCUUCUUUUUUAUAUUUGC
rnacentral:lncRNA from 1 species